rnacentral:rRNA from 1 species
AUGCCAAUGGCACGGCUGGGUAGCCAAGACGGGGAGGGAUAAACGCUGAAGGCAUCUAAGCGUGAAGCCCCCCUCAAGAUGAGAUCUCCUAGCAGAAAUGUGAGAGACCCCUUAGAGACAAUGAGGUAGAUAGGGCAGGGGUGGAAGUGCAGCGAUGCAUGGAGCUGACUGCUACUAAUCGGUCGAAAGCUUGACCUAA